GCUGAUGGUGUGGAUCAAACUGUUCCGGGGAGCCUCACAGACUCAGCGUUGGGAGAUGUUCAGCAAUCGCAAGUUUUCAGCUUUAACAAUAGCUCCUUUCGGCACUACGCUACUGUGGCAGUUGUCAGAUAGACGUUACGCGAUUGUGUGCAACUCUCAGUUCCACCCUUUCUUCAUAGUGUUGUUUGGGUAAGCAGUGAUGUGACUGCGGGGCCGGUGUCUGAGCGAAUGACGCAAGAUCCUGUGUGACAGGAGGCUGGCCCUCUCUGUAAACAUUCAUUUGCCAGGAACAAAACUGCAACGCUGGGCACCUUGCAGACUUUUGAAUCCCUUUUAUCUCUCAAACGGUUCAGACAGCCUUAGACGCUAUAUUCUAAUAACAUGAGGCAUACGCAGCUGGUUGAGGGGGAACUUUCUUUUGUCGGAUAGCUCUCUACUCUGUCGUGUGCAUCACCCGACGGCAAGAGUGUGGAAUUCAUCGAGCCAGUCCACCAAAUGAGCGUCUGACGUAUUUGGCCCCACUGGGCGAAUCAACGCGGCGGCAUGGCGACGGGACGCUGGUAUUUUUCUUCAUUUCCUUUCAGGAAGUUUAACAUGCAGCACGCGGCCGCAAACUCCUGCAUUCAAGCAGAAGGGACCCCACGUCGAUGGUUGUAUGCAGCCCUCCUCCUUGCAGCGCAUGCACUCGGUAUCGACUUGUUUUAAACAGUCAAAACGAAACCACGUACAGCUGCAAAUGUCCAUAGCAACGUCCUGUCGAUAGUCAGGUCCUCGGCUGGUGCCUUCUACCCACCAGAACUACACAGACCCGGCUGCGAAUUCAUGCCUUCGGUGAAAACUCCCUGACACGAGGCAGCAUUCUUUUCUGAGUCGAUAGUAGGGGUGGGAUAAUUUGCGUCAAAAAGCAAUGCCGCUUUCACAGCUGGUCGACCUUGUCGAUAGCAGCUUACUAAGCAAUCUCUCCAAGUUGACACCGGUGGAAAUUACCAACGCAGAAGAAACGUAGGCCGAUGACAAAGAUCUGCACGCCCCACGUCCAGUCCGACAGAAUACUGGAGGGCAUCUCCGAGCUGAAUUCGGUGAAAACCAGAAUCAGUUCUCCGGAGGCUGAGAAAACAGAACGUCGGGAGAGUGCAUGCGUUCGAGUUUUCGCUGAUACCAGGAAAUCAGGCACAACAACAACUUCGGUGCUUCCGGCUGUUCCUCGAAGAAGUCAUGCCUACUUGAGUCUGGUAGGGGUUUUCUCGAGCGCAUCCGCGGUUUAGAUGCGCAUCAUUAGUAACCAAGUGACACAAAACUCAGUAUUAGUCAUAUCUCUCGUUAUAUGCCUUUGACUCCUGAGCAAACGCGU
rnacentral:lncRNA from 1 species